rnacentral:SRP_RNA from 1 species
GUCAUCACUUACACGAGUCCCAGCUACCCAGGAGGCUGAGGCAGGAGGAUCGCUUUAGUCCAGGAGUUCUGGGCUGUAGUGCACUAUGCUGAUCGGGUGUCCGCACUAAGUUUGGCAUCACUAUGGUGACCUCCUGGGAGCAGGGGACCACCAGGUUGACUAAGGAGGGGUGAACUGGCCCAGAUCGGAAAUGGAGCAGGUCAAAACUCUCAUGCUGACCAGGAUUACCAUGGCAACAACACAUCUAAUGUCCAGCCAUUGUUGGCCUGGGCAUUAUGGUGUGCAGUAUCCU